GGCGAGGUAGCUCAGUGGCAGAGCAAGCGGCUCAUAAUCGCUCGGUCGUGGGUUCAAAUCCCACCCUCGCCA
rnacentral:tRNA from 1 species